UCAUGAAUAUGUGUUAAGUUGUGAGGACGACACUAAACCGAACCCGAACGGAAGUCUUGAAGCUCCGACACAAGGAUGCAAUCUACAAUUACCGCUACUAAGUUUCGAUGAUGUGUUGUUGUUGCAAUGUCGACACGAUGUGGAGAAAGUGUUAGGAUUUGUUGCAGCGUUGAAGAGAAUUGAAGGCUUGUUGAUGAUAAUGAUGCGAUGUUGUUGAGUAAUGAAGAAUGGAUGAAGAUGAGAGGCAAAUAAAGAGUUUGUUCUGUGAUUCUUCAUAGAUUGAAGAAUGAAUGAGAGAAGACGAAUAUUGUAGAUUGUGAAGAAGCUCGGUGAUGGAGGGUGAAGAUUGGAAGAGGAAGAAGAGAGAAUUUUAGAGAGUGAUUCUUCUAUAGAGAUUGAAGAAUGAUCCAU